UCAGAUUGAACGCUGGCGGCAGGCCUAACACAUGCAAGUCGAGCGGAUGAAGGGAGCUUGCUCCUGGAUUCAGCGGCGGACGGGUGAGUAAUGCCUAGGAAUCUGCCUGGUAGUGGGGGAUAACGUCCGGAAACGGGCGCUAAUACCGCAUACGUCCUGAGGGAGAAAGUGGGGGAUCUUCGGACCUCACGCUAUCAGAUGAGCCUAGGUCGGAUUAGCUAGUUGGUGGGGUAAAGGCCUACCAAGGCGACGAUCCGUAACUGGUCUGAGAGGAUGAUCAGUCACACUGGAACUGAGACACGGGUCCCAGACUCCUACGGGAGGCAGCAGUGGGGAAUAUUGGACAAUGGGCGAAAGCCUGAUCCAGCCAUGCCGCGUGUGUGAAGAAGGUCUUCGGAUUGUAAAGCACUUUAAGUUGGGGAGGAAGGGCAGUAAGUUAAUACCUUGCUGUUUUGACGUUACCAACAGAAUAAGCACCGGCUAACUUCGUGCCAGCAGCCGCGGUAAUACGAAGGGUGCAAGCGUUAAUCGGAAUUACUGGGCGUAAAGCGCGCGUAGGUGGUUCAGCAAGUUGGAUGUGAAAUCCCCGGGCUCAACCUGGGAACUGCAUCCAAAACUACUGAGCUAGAGUACGGUAGAGGGUGGUGGAAUUUCCUGUGUAGCGGUGAAAUGCGUAGAUAUAGGAAGGAACACCAGUGGCGAAGGCGACCACCUGGACUGAUACUGACACUGAGGUGCGAAAGCGUGGGGAGCAAACAGGAUUAGAUACCCUGGUAGUCCACGCCGUAAACGAUGUCGACUAGCCGUUGGGAUCCUUGAGAUCUUAGUGGCGCAGCUAACGCGAUAAGUCGACCGCCUGGGGAGUACGGCCGCAAGGUUAAAACUCAAAUGAAUUGACGGGGGCCCGCACAAGCGGUGGAGC
rnacentral:rRNA from 1 species